rnacentral:tRNA from 1 species
GGAUAUAGCUCAGUUGGUGGAGUGUUUGCCUUGUAUGCACAAGGCCCUGGGUUCAAAUCUCCAGUAAACCA